CAACGAUAACUACCUGCAGAUGGAGAGAUGGUAGACUAGGAGGGAAAAUUUCAAAGAUAUUUGGGUUACGGAAAAUGCUGGAGGAGCAGCAUUGAACAGCAAUGGCUCACCCUCUGCAACAUCAACAUCGUCAUGAAAAUCGACUGCAAUCUUGGUUUCCAUAGAAAUCAAGAGACCGUUGUCUGAUUUUCUGAAACAAUCUCUCUUCUGCCGUCAUGCUUUGCUUGGAGAUCAGGUACUUCAUUCAAGGAUCCUGUGCUGGCAUCAGAUCCCUUUCCAUUUGGUUUCCCAUCCUUUUCACCAACAGCAACCCGUUUAAA